UCCGUCAUAGUCCAGUGGUUAGGAUAUCUGGCUUUCAGCAUCUGGCUGGAAAGGCGCCCAGGAGACCCGAGUUCGAACCUCGGUGACGGAA